rnacentral:lncRNA from 12 species
AGAGAAACACACAGCCCCUGAUUCAGGCUAGCUGAGGGAAAGCAAGCAGGCUUUUUUGUGUGUGUUUGUGGUCGCUGCACUGGGAAAGGGGAGGAAAAGCGAGAGGCAGCUGGCGGGCGGACGUCCUUGUCCUUGAAAAACUGCACCAGAGAACUCUUUGAGGGAAGCCAGGAUCCAGCGAAUAUUGUUCCAGGCCCGUCCAAAGAUCCAAAUUGGAAUUUGUCCUACAUUACCUGGCAAAGUCCUACUUGGCAAAAUCGCAA